rnacentral:rRNA from 1 species
UACAGAGGUCUCAAGCGUUGUUCGGAUUCAUUGGGCGUAAAGGGUGCGUAGGCGGCGCGGUAAGUCGGGUGUGAAAUCUUGGAGCUUAACUCCGAAACUGCAUUCGAUACUGCCGUGCUUGAGGACUGGAGAGGAGACUGGAAUUUACGGUGUAGCGGUGAAAUGCGUAGAUAUCGUAAGGAAGACCAGUGGCGAAGGCGGAUCUCUGGACAGUUCCUGACGCUGAGGCACGAAGGCCAGGGGAGCAAAACGGGG